AGAGUUUGAUCCUGGCUCAGAUUGAACGCUAGCGGGAUGCUUUACACAUGCAAGUCGAACGGCAGCGCGAGAGAGCUUGCUCUCUUGGCGGCGAGUGGCGGACGGGUGAGUAAUAUAUCGGAACGUGCCCAGUAGCGGGGGAUAACUACUCGAAAGAGUGGCUAAUACCGCAUACGCCCUACGGGGGAAAGGGGGGGAUCGCAAGACCUCUCACUAUUGGAGCGGCCGAUAUCGGAUUAGCUAGUUGGUGGGGUAAAGGCUCACCAAGGCAACGAUCCGUAGCUGGUUUGAGAGGACGACCAGCCACACUGGGACUGAGACACGGCCCAGACUCCUACGGGAGGCAGCAGUGGGGAAUUUUGGACAAUGGGGGAAACCCUGAUCCAGCCAUCCCGCGUGUAUGAUGAAGGCCUUCGGGUUGUAAAGUACUUUUGGCAGAGAAGAAAAGGUACCUCCUAAUACGAGGUACUGCUGACGGUAUCUGCAGAAUAAGCACCGGCUAACUACGUGCCAGCAGCCGCGGUAAUACGUAGGGUGCAAGCGUUAAUCGGAAUUACUGGGCGUAAAGCGUGUGUAGGCGGUUCGGAAAGAAAGAUGUGAAAUCCCAGGGCUCAACCUUGGAACUGCAUUUUUAACUGCCGAGCUAGAGUAUGUCAGAGGGGGGUAGAAUUCCACGUGUAGCAGUGAAAUGCGUAGAUAUGUGGAGGAAUACCGAUGGCGAAGGCAGCCCCCUGGGAUAAUACUGACGCUCAGACACGAAAGCGUGGGGAGCAAACAGGAUUAGAUACCCUGGUAGUCCACGCCCUAAACGAUGUCAACUAGCUGUUGGGGCCGUUAGGCCUUAGUAGCGCAGCUAACGCGUGAAGUUGACCGCCUGGGGAGUACGGUCGCAAGAUUAAAACUCAAAGGAAUUGACGGGGACCCGCACAAGCGGUGGAUGAUGUGGAUUAAUUCGAUGCAACGCGAAAAACCUUACCUACCCUUGACAUGUCUGGAAAGCCGAAGAGAUUUGGCCGUGCUCGCAAGAGAACCGGAACACAGGUGCUGCAUGGCUGUCGUCAGCUCGUGUCGUGAGAUGUUGGGUUAAGUCCCGCAACGAGCGCAACCCUUGUCAUUAGUUGCUACGCAAGAGCACUCUAAUGAGACUGCCGGUGACAAACCGGAGGAAGGUGGGGAUGACGUCAAGUCCUCAUGGCCCUUAUGGGUAGGGCUUCACACGUCAUACAAUGGUCGGGACAGAGGGUCGCCAACCCGCGAGGGGGAGCCAAUCUCAGAAACCCGAUCGUAGUCCGGAUCGCAGUCUGCAACUCGACUGCGUGAAGUCGGAAUCGCUAGUAAUCGCGGAUCAGAAUGUCGCGGUGAAUACGUUCCCGGGUCUUGUACACACCGCCCGUCACACCAUGGGAGUGGGUUUCACCAGAAGUAGGUAGCCUAACCGUAAGGAGGGCGCUUACCACGGUGGGAUUCAUGACUGGGGUGAAGUCGUAACAAGGUAGCCGUAUCGGAAGGUGCGGCUGGAUCACCU
rnacentral:rRNA from 1 species